rnacentral:rRNA from 1 species
UACGUAGGGUGCGAGCGUUAAUCGGAAUUACUGGGCGUAAAGCGUGCGCAGGCGGUUUUGUAAGUCAGAUGUGAAAUCCCCGGGCUUAACCUGGGAACUGCGUUUGAAACUACAAGGCUAGAGUGUAGCAGAGGGGGGUGGAAUUCCACGUGUAGCAGUGAAAUGCGUAGAGAUGUGGAGGAACACCAGUGGCGAAGGCGACUCCCUGGACUAGAACUGACGCUGAGGUACGAAAGCGUGGGUAGCAAACAGG